rnacentral:misc_RNA from 1 species
GGCUUCCUCAGCCGACUCGUAAGUUCCAAGCCAAACCCGUGCGCCGUUUUUAGCCGGAUCUCUUAUUUCCGCUGCAAAUUUUCCCCAUGGCCUUUGUCUAACGCCCCUGUAAUGCCUUCCUUUAGGCUGCAAAGCCGCUGGAGCCACUGUCGGCGGAGAAACAGAAGUACUCAUAGCUGGCUCAAUCUCCUCCCUCGGCUCGAGUUUCACUUCCUCGGACGUUAAAUUUGACGGCGUCCAUCCGAUACUAAAAGCGUCUUGUAGAAACCCAUAAAUUACCAUAUCUUCGGAAUCG